rnacentral:rRNA from 1 species
AUUGAACGCUAGCUGGAUGCCUUACACAUGCAAGUCGAACGGAGUGGCGAACGGGUGAGUCAUGUAUCGGAACGUGCCCAGUAGCGGGGUAUAACUGCGCGAAAGCGUAGCUAAUACCGCAUACUGUUUGAGCGGCCGAUAUCGGUUUAGCUUGCUGGUGGGGUAACGGCUCGCCAAGGCGACGAUGCGUAGCUGGUUUGAGAGGACGACCAGCCACACUGGAACUGAGACACGGCCCAGACUACUACGGGACGCAGCAGUGGGGAGUUGUGGACAAUGGGGGAAGCCCUGGCCCGGCCAUCCCGCGUAGGCGAUGAAGGCAUUCGGGUUGUAAUGGACUUUUGGCAGGAAAGCGGUACCUUCAGAAUAAGCACCGGCUAACUACGUGCCAGCAGCCGCGGUAAUAC